CACCUCCUGGGGGAGAGGGUUGCAGUUUCCCAGGAGGCCUGGGGCUACCGGAAGCUUCCCCGACAUGCCUCUCGGCUCCGAUCUCAAGACCAGAGUCACACGACCGCUCCCCAAGCCCCAGACACCUCAUAGGGUCCCUCGUGCACUCGGGCCGGGUGCCACUCACCGGUUUUGGCGGGGGCCUCGUCUGUGACUCCUGGAGGGGCCCAGCCUGGGGGUGGCCACUACCCCCCCAUCUGCGGGGGAGGAAGGCAGGGGGCUGCGUCAGUGGCGGGGGCUUGGGGAGGGGGGGGGGGGGGGGGGGGGGGGGGGGGGGCCCCGGCCCCCCCCCCCGCUGCUGCUGCUCCUGCUCCAGGUUCCGCUGCAGGACCUGCUGCUGGUUGGCGAUGACGCGCCGGAUGCCGUUGACGAAGUUGCUCUGGUCGUGGGGGAUGAGGCCGAUGAAGAUCUUCUUCUCCGAGGAGUAGAGGAGCAUGAGCACGCGCACCUCGCACGACGCCUUGUAGGAGAAGUGCACGCAGCCGGCCUGGCGGGCGGGGGCGGGGUCACCGUCUGGCCGCGGUGCGGACGCGCCUCCCCACGGCCACCGGGGCACGAGCACGCGGGC
rnacentral:lncRNA from 1 species